rnacentral:tRNA from 1 species
GCUCAGUGGUAGAGCGUUCGCUUCACAUGCGAAAGGUCGAAGGUUCGAAACCUUCUACACCCA